rnacentral:lncRNA from 1 species
GAAACAAUGUUAGACUACUCAGUUGAGCCCUAACAGUAUUAUUUUGCAACUAGUACUUUUUAUCAUUCUAUCGAACAAAGAGUAAAACCUAAUUAAAUUGUUCUAUUAUGCCCCGAGAGUGUAAAUUUAGAACGAAUCGCUGUCAACGUUCACAGGAACAAAAACCGGAACAACAUGAGAGUACUGAGUUGCGCCAUAAUAGUAUAACAUUGCAACGAGUACUUUUUCUCAUUCUAUCGAAUAAGGAGUAAAAGUUUUCUAUUAUGCCCCGAGAGAGUAAAUUUAGAACGAAAUGACGUCAACGUUCACAAGAACCAAAACCGAAACAACGUUAGACUACUCAGUUGAGCCCACAUAUUAUAAUUUUGCAACUAGUACGUUUUCUCAUUCAAUCGAUCAUAGAGCAAAACCUAAUUAUAUUGUUCUAUUUUGCCCCGAGAGUGUAAAUUUGAAACGAAUCGUUGUCAACGUUCACAAGAAUCAAAACCUGAACAACGUUAGUCUACUCAGUGGAGCCCUAACGGUAUAACAUUGCAACUAGUACUUUUUCUCAUUCAAUCGAACAAAGAGUAAAACCUAAUUAUAUUGUUCUAUUAUGGCCCAAGAGUGUAAAUUUGGAACGAAUCGAUGUCAACUUUCGCAAGACCAAAAGCGGAACAACAUUAGACAACUCAGUUUCGACCUAACAGUAUAACGUUGCAACAAGUAGUUUUUCUCAUUCUAUCGAACAAAGAGUAAAACCUAAUUAAAUUGUUCUAUUAUACCCCGAGAGUGUAAAUUUGGAACGAAUCGAUGUCAAUAUUCCCAAGAACCAAAACCGGAACAACAUUAGACUACUCAGUUGCUCCAUGACAGUAUAACUUUGCAACGAGUACUUUUUCUCAUUCUAUCAUACAAGGAGUAAAAGCUCUCUAUUAUGCCCCGAGAGUGUAAAUUUGGAAGGAAUCGAUGUCAACGUACACAAGAACCAAAACAGGAACGAGGUUAGACUUCUCAGUUGAGCCCUAACUGUAUAACUUUGCAACU